rnacentral:lncRNA from 1 species
CUUUGACAAUCUCCACUUUAGAAUGAAUAUCUAAAUGAUCACUGAUGAUGGGGUGUUGUUGGUUUAUGAGAUGGACCAUGCGAGCCCUUUUAACAGUUUAUCUGGUCAGAAUAUUCCAUAUGCCAAACCUUUAUUUAUUCGGCCAUUAAUUUAUAGACAUAGAAGGGGCUCCAGGUUUAGUCUGGUUUCUACCAGAUAGACUCUCUGG